rnacentral:snRNA from 1 species
UCACCUUUCUCGGCCUUUUGCUAAGAUCAAGUGUAGUAUCUGUUCUUAUCAGUUUAAUAUCUGAUAUGUGGGUCAUUGAUCCACACGAUAUUAACUCAAUUUUUUAAGGGGAAAGGCUCAUCACAAUAGCUUGCUAUUGGAGCCUUUGUGCGUCGCGUUGGUGUUGCACUAUUGCUUGGGCCUAGCGUACCCACC